CACGUAGGGGCCAAGCGUUGUCCGGAAUUACUGGGCGUAAAGAGUGUGUAGGCGGUGCUCUAAGUUUGGUGUGAAAUCUCCCGGCUCAACUGGGAGGGUGCAUCGAAAACUGGAGUGCUCGAGGGUGGGAGAGGUAAGCGGAAUUCCUGGUGUAGCGGUGAAAUGCGUAGAUAUCAGGAGGAACACCUGCGGUGUAGACGGCUUACUGGACCAUAACUGACGCUGAGGCACGAAAGCGUGGGUAGCAAACAGG
rnacentral:rRNA from 1 species